AGUGGGGCAGUCAAAUCUUAAAGCUCCAAAAUAAUCUCCUUUGACUCCAUGUCUCACAUCCAGGUCAUGCUGAAGCAAGAGGUGGGUUCCCAUGGUCUUGGGCAUCUCCACUCCUAUGGCUUUGCAGAGUAUAGCUCACCUCCUGGUUGCUUCUCAUGGGCUG